AUGCAGCAGAAGAAAUUAUGUUGCGUGAAUAUCAGCAUGAUAUCAGUAAAUGCCUCUAAAGCCUCUGACAAUGUUUUCCAACCAAAAGGUUUUAACUUGAAACUUUCUCAUAAAAAAUACAGAUGCUCAGCUGGUAAUCAAUCAUCUAUAAUUAUGCUUUGGAGAAACUUCAUAUGCAGAGAUACUCAACUUGUCAUAGCUACAAUUUAUUCCCAGGUCAAAGAAUAUCUUCCGGUACUGUUAAAUAUAGAUAUCUGGACUGAAUUGAACUUAUAUGACAAUUGCAGUCAAGAUUCUGGAACUCAGAAUGGGCAAACCAGAAAGUUUUAUUAA
rnacentral:lncRNA from 12 species